GGUAAGGUAAGUUAGGCUUAAAGUAAAACAUAUCGAAAAAAUAACAAAGACACAAAGGGUUAAAUAACCAAACGCUGUAAGCUAUUGGUUAAAAAGACAGGUCACCAGUCCAUCACUGUAUGAAGCUGAAGAAGCAGCUGUGUGUGUGUGUUUCUCAGAUGUGUUGUGUGAAUGUCAGCCCUUACAGACCUUCUUAUCGCUGCAGUUGACGUGUUUUACUGAUAUAAAAACCACAUAUCGACUCUUACCAUCAUUCUUCUGACCCCCAACACGGCUGAAACGCUGCUCGGUGGUGUUUUCACCUGUAAGCUCGUCUGUUCAGAACAUCACCAUGGAUAAGUUACUUUGGAGCUGUGCAGCACUGCUGACUCUGUUUGUCACAGCUGAGUGCCUCACCUGUGAUACCUGUGACGUGUCGGUGCUCAGCUACUGCUUCAAACAGGCUCCUGUAAACUGCACAAAGACUCAGGACAGAUGCUACACUGCUGUUGCCAAAUUUAGUGCUGAUCUGUUGGACAUCCACGCUAAAGGCUGCACAGAAGCCUCCCUGUGUAAAAACGAGACAGGCUCCAUCCUCUCUGUUAACUACACCAUCACCAGGACCUGCUGCAGCAAGAACCUGUGCAACAGAGCCACCGCCAUCCAGCUGCCCCUCACUGCAGCUGUAUGUGCUGCACUGGUGGCAGUUUGGAGCCAGGGGAGCCCGUAGAGAUGAGGGGAAGAGGGUUUAUGAAAAAAUAAAAAUCACUCUGUGGUCCUUUCA
rnacentral:lncRNA from 1 species